AUUGAACGCUGGCGGCAGGCCUAACACAUGCAAGUCGAACGAGUGGCGGACGGGUGAGUAAUGUCGGGGACACUGCCUGAUGGAGGGGGAUAAAUACUGGAAACGGUAGCUAAUACCGCAUACCAUCGGAUGUGCCCAGAUGGGAUUAGCUAGUAGGUGGGGUAAAGGCUCACCUAGGCGACGAUCCCUAGCUGGUCUGAGAGGAUGACCAGCCACAUUGGCACUGAGACAAGGCCCACACUCCUAAGGGGGGCAGCAGUGGGGAAUAUUGCACAAUGUGCGCAAGCCUGAUGCAGCCAUGCCGCGUGUAUGAAGAAGGCCUUCGGGUUGUAAAGUACUUUCAGCGGGGAGGCGUUACCCGCAGAAGAAGCACCGGCUAACUCCGUGCCAGCAGCCGCGGUAAUAC
rnacentral:rRNA from 1 species